CCGUGUUAGCCAGGAUGGUCUCGGUUUCAUGACCUCGUGAUCUGCCCGUCUCGGCCUGCCAAAGUGCUGGGAUUAUAGGCGUGAGCCACCGCGCCGGGCCGUAUGUGUGUACCUCUUUACAAGUUUUGCCUGACCCUUGCAUUUAAAAAUUAUUGAAAAACUUAAGGAUGUGACUGACAAGAACUUCAUAGGUUUCUCCAAGUAAAAAUUUGGAAAAGUUAAGGGAACCCAUAAUGUGUUUUAUUUCUAGGAGUCCCACACUUGGAUUUUUAAGUGUGGGCAAAACAUCUCUAAGUUUUUCAGCCUGAUUUCCGUGGAAUUGUGAAUGAAACGUGCUGAAGUUGCCGUGCGGAUUUUGUUAUGUGGCGGUGACAAGUGGGACUGGUCAUUAAGCAAUUGGAGGGAUCCCUGUCUGUUCUGUGCUCCUGUUGGACACUAGGCACGUGCUUGGUGUUUUCUGUGUGUGUGGACAAGAUGAGGACAGAAUUUCUGGAUGAUUCACAUGGUGGUAUCUUCUCCCUUUUCUGUUAAAACGUGUCUUCUGCUUCUACAUAGACCAAGUGUUUCUUUCUCUUGCCUAUCUACAUAAACGCUAUUUAACAAAAACUGUACUGUAGACACGUGAAGCUGAAUUCCACAUUACAAAGCAGAUGGAGAUGACUGAGUAUACUGUUUUGUGGAAGGAAGGUUUAAAAUGAUUUUUAGCUUUUUCCCUGAAAUAGGGAAUAAUUUUACCUUUUUCCCUGAGAUAGGGAAUAAUGAAAUGGGAAAAUAAUUAAAUUUUCCCAUUGAAAGGUUAGAUUAUAUUUAAUUAUUAGAUUAUUCAUGUAUUGCAAGGGAAAAAGGAACUAGAUCACCCCAUCUACCCAAAUGAAAUUUUAAAGGGUACGGGCGAAUUCAUUUGAACUCGUUUAAUUUUUGUUUGUUUGUUUGUUUUUGACAGUCUCACUCUGUUUCUCAGGCUGAGUGCAGUAGUGCAGUGACAGCUCACUGCAACACCAACUUUCCAGGCUCAAGUGAUUUUCCUGCCUCAGCCUCCCCAACUGCUGAGAUUUACAGCAUUAACCACCACACACAGUUUAUCACCUCUUGGAGACCAGCUUUGAGUUUGGGCAUUCAGUGAACUGUAUUUUGGUUAAUUCCCAAAGUUUCUCACUGUUGAUCUUUAAUUUGCUAAAAAUCUAAAUGUAUUGUGAAAUGCGUUACAUUUCCUUAGCAUUCACGGAUUCCCUGUUAGUGGGGCAGAGACGCAGAAGGGCAGAAGGCGUUUGGACAUCAUCAGGGUUGCAGUUGAGUGCUUGCCCCGAACACACUGGAGCUCUGGGCUCUGUGGCCCCACAGGGGUCCUCUGUCCACUGAGGGGGUCGGGUUACCUGGAAGGUUUCUCCAGCCUCUGCGAUUUUGCCCUUUUCAGGUUAACAUCUCAUCGUUGUCUUGGACAGCGUCGCCUUUCGUUCACUGACCCACGAGUGAACAGUUGGUCAGUGGCCAGUGCUGCUUCCUUCAGCUGGGAGGUGGUGAUGUGAUUACACUUCCGUGGAACUUGGUUCUUGGUGUAUUAAGGGUUCAGUUGUAUCUUGAUUUUUAAUCUGCACCUCUGAAUUGGUCUUUUGAUUGCAAAGAGAUUGCUUGCUGCAUUUGUUUCUGAAUAUUUCAUGGAUAACAGGAGAACCUCGCUUAUCUGUGUGUUCAUUUAAUGUGUUUUUGCCGGGCAUUUAAAUGGGUGUGUUAGCCCUUAGCCCACUUUCUGUGUGUGGUGGAUUCAUUGAAAUCAUUUAUAUGAAGUCUCUCUUCUAUUAAGGCCAGAGGACGUGGGGUGCUGUCUCCCUAAACUCGGGGGAAAUGGCAUUGUUCUGCCCUCCUCCCUGGGAACCCUGGUGUUUCCAGGUCUCUGAACUUGGCUCCCACACUGAGAGAGUGGCUGUGGCUUCUGGAGCCCGUUUUGUGUGGGACUGACUCCUUCACUUGCUUUAUUCCCCACCGUCUUGGCUGCUUUAUGACUCAGGGAUGAGGGAGUUGGGCCCGGGGGCCUUGCCUGUGCCUGAAAGGCCCGAUGCAGAAACUCCUCGUGGGAAGGAUGUUCCUUGAGGGCAGCUUUUGGAGUCUUUUCCUACUUUUAACUGAGAAGUAGCUAUUCACAUGGUUCUAUUCUGCUAGUGUGUUUCAAAAUAAUUGGUGUAGAGUUACGAAGAUGUCCGAGACACCCAUGAUCCACUCCGGGCCAGUGCCGGGCAUUGUACUCAGAUGCCUUCAGACCACAUUCAGAUGCCAAAGAUUCUUGCUUGGUUAUUCUCAAACAUAUGAGAAUCUUAAACGCGAGUCACGGUGUGGAUUUUCUCUUGAGCCCCCAUGACUUUGCUUUGUAUUUUGGGGAUGAAUGACUUCAUCAAGGGGAAAGAAUUUGAGGAAGGAACCUCUGAGCCUGGGGAGGGGGGAGGGGCGGGGGACAGAGGGAAAAGGAGCUGUAGGGGGAAGAGCCAGGCUGGGGCAUCUCCCCAUGAUGCUCCCCACCCCUGGCGCGAGGCCCCAGGGACUGACUGACUUUCCCACAGGAAAUGUGUAUGAUUGCGUGUCUGUUUUGUGGGCGGGCCAGUUGGAUUGAGGGAAUGUCCGUGUUGUGAUUCCUUAUUGAUUCGAAGGUUGAAAAGGUUUGUGCUCAAUACAGGGGUCCCUUGGUGCGAUGGGAAAUGUAAUCACAGCCGCCUUCGGGAUGGGGAGAGCCCUCGAAGCCCUCAGUGGGGGCCGGUGCUGGCCUUAACCUCCCUGGAUGGGCUGCCCUCCGGGUGGGAAGGGAGGUCCUCGGUGGUGGCCGCUGCUAGCCUUCGCCUCCCUGGGUGAGUGCUGCUCCAUCCUCGGCUCUCCGACUCCUUGCCUGGCACCUUUCUCGUUGGAGGCCGUGAUCCAUCAGCUUUGUCCACGAGUGUCCUGCAGACUAGUGCUGACUGCAGGUUCAGUGGUGGUCAGAGGAGGCCCUCGUGAUGCGAAGCUAAACGUUUAAUGAUGGCGCUGCUGAGUGCAUGAGCCGCGUCAGCCCAAGAGUCCGGGUAGGAGGGAACCGUGGGGUGGAGGGAAGACUGGACAGAUGGGUGCUUUCUUCAGCCCCUGGGAGCACAGCCAGGUAAAUGCUCAGACCUCCUGGUUUCUCCCGUAUUUCCAUAAAUAGCAAGGGAAGGACUCGGGGCACCCAGGGACCUGAUGGGUAUAAGCUGUGUCCUCUCAUGGCCCCAGCUGUGGCCAGUGACGUUAUUCUCUUUAACCUCAGGCUUAUUUUGUAUAAAAACACAAGGAACAGAAGUAGUUCAAGGGCCUCUAAAGACUUAUGUAAUUGUUAAUAGGCCUACUUUUAUGAUUUCAUAUGUAUUAAGAGCAAAUCAUGAAAAAAACUCAUUUCUGUUUGAAGAAAUCUUUACUGUUCUCAUUUUUGUGGCAAGCAACAUUGAUUCUUUGUUUAGUGAGCGUUAGUGCCCUCCUGCCCAGUGCCACUGCCUGGCGUGUCCUCGCACACGCCUCUGUCCAUUGGUCUCCGUUCACCUAUCCGCCUAGAAUUGUAGGAGGGGCGCUGGGAUCUUAGGGCUAGAAAGAAACUCUGAAGACAACUUUUAGGGGCGGCUUUUAGUCAGGGCUCUCCAGAGAGACAGCCAGCCAGGUGUGCGUGUGUCUCCAGGGGGAGGCUUGCUGCAGGGGCUACAGAGUCCAAGAAGCCCCAGGACCCACAGCCUGCAAGCUAGAGUCCUGGGAGGGUGUGGCUUGAAGUACUUGAGAAGCAGAGGGUGCAGAUCCCAACCGGGUCCGAGAAGCUGAGACCCAGGAACACGGGCGGCAGAAGACGGAUGUUACUGGCCCAUCAGCCAGACAGGUGGAGUGAACCCAGUUUUCCCCGCCUUGCUGUUUUACUUAAGCCCUGGGUGGAUAGGGUAGUGCCCCCCACACUGGCGAAGAUGGGUCUCCACUCAGUCCAGAGGCAAACAUGCAUCUCACACAGAAAUAAUGCAGAACCAGCCAUCUGGGCACCCCGGGCACGCUCAAGUCGAUGCGCAAAACCAACGCCGCGUGUGGCCCUGACGUCUGCGUGUUCGCAUCACUCCACGCACAUUGCUCCGUCGUCGCCUCGUGCCCAGGAGGCUGAUGCCACAUAGAAGACCUGCAGGUCGGCGGAUGUGAAACAGGCAUCGGACACGCUGUGCACCUUGGGACGCAUCUGAGAAGUGCGUGCUUGCAGCAGAUCUGAGCAUUUGAUAGCUUGUGAAACGAGACCAAGACUUUAUAUGAGUGGAUAUGCCAUUAUCUGAGAUCCAGAACGUUCCCUGGACCUGGCCUUGAGGAUGUCAUGUAAAGGGAGGUAAAAACAUUUUCAUUGUGGUCAUUGGGGCUCCUGAAGUGGUGUUCUUCCCAGUGAAAGUUUAUUCAUAAAAAUCUGUUAACUCAGUACUAUGUGAACAGGAAGGAGGUGUGUUGGGCUCUAGUUAAGUGUCUCAGAGCCACAGAGUAAAUGAGGGCACCUUCUGAGCACAGCCUUCUGGAAGAAGCCGAGGACGUUUGCCUGGAGGGUUUGCCGUGAAGCAGGACUCUGGCAGGGCUGGUCUGCCUGGAGAGGCCUCUGGCAUGAUGUAGUUUAGUUGAAGUAGUUGAGGGGUGGUGGCGUGAGGUCGGUGGUCCCCGAGGAAGCCCCUAGCAAGGCCGGUUGCAGUGGGAUGAAAAAUGGCCGUUCAGUGGCUGUAAUCCUCGCUUCACGGGUCCGAC